rnacentral:rRNA from 1 species
UAGCAUAUCAAUAAGCGGAGGAAAAGAAACCAACAGGGAUUGCCUCAGUAACGGCGAGUGAAGCGGCAACAGCUCAAAUUUGAAAUCUGGCCCUAGGCCCGAGUUGUAAUUUGCAGAGGAUGCUUUUGGUGCGGUGCCUUCCAAGUUCCCUAGAACGGGACGCCAGAGAGGGUGAGAGCCCCGUACAGUUGGACACCAAGCCUUUGUAAAGCUCCUUCGACGAGUCGAGUAGUUUGGGAAUGCUGCUCAAAAUGGGAGGUAUAUUUCUUCUAAAGCUAAAUACCGGCCAGAGACCGAUAGCGCACAAGUAGAGUGAUCGAAAGAUGAAAAGCACUUUGAAAAGAGGGUUAAACAGCACGUGAAAUUGUUAAAAGGGAAGCGCUUGUGACCAGACUUGCGUCCGGUGAAUCACCCAGCUCUCGCGGCUGGGGCACUUCGCCGGCUCAGGCCAGCAUCAGCUCGCUGUCGGGGACAAAAGCUUCGGGAACGUAGCUCUCUUCGGGGAGUGUUAUAGCCUGUUGCAUAAUACCCUUCGGCGGGCUGAGGUACGCGCUCCGCAAGGAUGCUGGCAUAAUGGUCAUCAGCGACCCGUCUUGAAACACGGACCAAGGAGUCAACCUUAUGUGCGAGUGUUCGGGUGUCAAACCCCUACGCGUAAUGAAAGUGAACGCAGGUGAGAGCUUCGGCGCAUCAUCGACCGAUCCUGAUGUUCUCGGAUGGAUUUGAGUAAGAGCAUAUAGGGUUGGACCCGAAAGAAGGUGAACUAUGCGUGUAUAGGGUGAAGCCAGAGGAAACUCUGGUGGAGGCUCGCAGCGGUUCUGACGUGCAAAUCGAUCGUCAAAUAUGCGCAUGGGGGGCGAAAGACUAAUCGAACCUUCUAGUAGCUGGUUUCCGC